rnacentral:rRNA from 1 species
CGUAGGGGGCAAGCGUUGUCCGGAAUCAUUGGGCGUAAAGCGCGUGUAGGCGGCCAGAAAAGUCCGCUGUGAAAACUCGAGGCUCAACUUCGAGCUGUCGGUGGAAACUUUCUGGCUAGAGUCCGGAAGAGGAGAAUGGAAUUCCUGGUGUAGCGGUGAAAUGCGCAGAUAUCAGGAAGAACACCCGUGGCGAAGGCGGUUCUCUGGGACGGUACUGACGCUGAGACGCGAAAGCGUGGGGAGCGAACAGGAUUAGAUACCCUGGUAGUCCACGCCGUAAACGAUGGGUGCUAGGUGUGGGGGGUGUCGACUCCCUCCGUGCCGAAGCUAACGCAUUAAGCACCCCGCCUGGGGAGUACGGCCGCAAGGCUA